rnacentral:rRNA from 1 species
UACAGAGGUCUCAAGCGUUGUUCGGAUUCAUUGGGCGUAAAGGGCGUGUAGGUGGCGCGCUAAGUCGGGUGUGAAAUUUCGGAGCUUAACUCCGAAACUGCAUUCGAUACUGGCGUGCUUGAGGACUGGAGAGGAGACUGGAAUUUACGGUGUAGCAGUGAAAUGCGUAGAUAUCGUAAGGAAGACAGGUGGCGAAGGCGGGUGUCUGGACAGUCCCUGACACUGGGACACGAAGGCAGGGGAGCAAACGGG